rnacentral:rRNA from 1 species
CCCGGUAAACGGCGGCCGUAACUAUAACGGUCCUAAGGUAGCGAAAUUCCUUGUCGGGUAAGUUCCGACCUGCACGAAUGGCGUAAUGAUGGCCAGGCUGUCUCCACCCGAGACUCAGUGAAAUUGAACUCGCUGUGAAGAUGCAGUGUACCCGCGGCAAGACGGAAAGACCCCGUGAACCUUUACUAUAGCUUGACACUGAACACUGGUCCUUGAUGUGUAGGAUAGGUGGGAGGCUUUGAAGUGUGGACGCCAGUCUGCAUGGAGCCGCCCUUGAAAUACCACCCUUUAAUGGCUGGUGUUCUAACGUGGGCCCGUAAUCCGGGUUGCGGACAGUGUCUGGUGGGUAGUUUGACUGGGGCGGUCUCCUCCUAAAGAGUAACGGAGGAGCACGAAGGUCAGCUAAUCCUGGUCGGACAUCAGGAGGUUAGUGCAAUGGCAUAAGCUGGCUUGACUGCGAGCGUGACGGCGCGAGCAGGUGCGAAAGCAGGUCAUAGUGAUCCGGUGGUUCUGAAUGGAAGGGCCAUCGCUCAACGGAUAAAAGGUACUCCGGGGAUAACAGGCUGAUACCGCCCAAGAGUUCAUAUCGACGGCGGUGUUUGGCACCUCGAUGUCGGCUCAUCACAUCCUGGGGCUGAAGUAGGUCCCAAGGGUAUGGCUGUUCGCCAUUUAAAGUGGUACGCGAGCUGGGUUUAGAACGUCGUGAGACAGUUCGGUCCCUAUCUGCCGUGGGCGCUGGAGAACUGAGGGGGGCUGCUCCUAGUACGAGAGGACCGGAGUGGACGCAUCACUGGUGUUCGGGUUGUCAUGCCAAUGGCACUGCCCGGUAGCUAAAUGCGGAAGAGAUAAGUGCUGAAAGCAUCUAAGCACGAAACUUGCCCCGAGAUGAGUUCUCCCUGACUCCUUGAGAGUCCUGAAGGAACGUUGAAGACGACGACGUUGAUAGGCCGGGUGUGUAAGCGCAGCGAUGCGUUGAGCUAACCGGUACUAAUGAACCGUGAGGCUUAACCUUACAACGCCGAAG